AGUGUAGGCGGAGCCGUCAGUCCGGUGUGAAAGCCCCCGGCUCAACCGGGGAAUGCCAUCGGAUACUGCGGUUCUUGAGUGUGGGAGGGGAGAGUGGAACUCUUGGUGGAGCGGUGAAAUGCGUAGAUAUCAAGAGGAACGCCGGUGGCGAAAGCGGCUCUCUGGCCCAUCACUGACGCUGAGGCUCGAAAGCCAGGGGAGCGAACG
rnacentral:rRNA from 1 species